AAUCUUCCACAAUGGACGGAAGUCUGAUGGAGCAACGCCGCGUGAGCGAAGAAGUCCUNCGGGUCNUNAAGCUCUGUCCUAAGGGNAGAAACGGACGGUACCUUAGGAGGAAGCCCCGGCUAACUACGUGCCAGCAGCCGCGGUAAUACGUAGGGGGCGAGCGUUAUCCGGAAUUAUUGGGCGUAAAGGGUGCGUAGGCGGCCUUUUAAGUCAGAUGUGAAAGGCUACGGCUUAACCGUAGUUAGCAUUUGAAACUAAAAGGCUUGAGUGCAGGAGAGGAGAGUGGAAUUCCUAGUGUAGCGGUGAAAUGCGUAGAUAUUAGGAGGAACACCAGUGGCGAAGGCGACUCUCUGGACUGCAACUGACGCUGAGGCACGAAAGCGUGGGGAGCGAACA
rnacentral:rRNA from 1 species